rnacentral:tRNA from 1 species
GGGGGUAGAUAAGUGCUGGUGUGCUUGCUGGUCUUCAACACCAUGUUGCCGUGCUAAUACCACGACGGGUGGGUUCGAUUCCCACAUACUCCC